AUUUCGGAUUUUAGAUUAGCUGGUCUCGAGCAAUUGGCAUUUUUCGACUGGUCCGAAUUGUGUGAGGUGAAUUGGUCGGAGAUUCGGGGACUGCAAUUCUACGCAAAGUGGGGUACAGAAACGACAACGUUAAAGUAAAAUAUUCGGGAGUAAUGAAAAAGGACGAAAGGGGAGAUGAUUCAUGAAGAAGCAGGAAAGGGGGAAUACAGAGACAAAGAAAUGACUGACGCUUGCAUAAGAGCAGUCGUCGAAUCUAUACACUCUUCCCCCACCCAGGCCGUCCUCUACCUCUCCGGCGGCGCCUCUCUCGCUCUAGGAUGGUUAAUGUCAGUUCCCGGAGCUUCAAAUACGGUGCUGGAAGCUGUCGUACCAUACUCCAGAAUGUCAAUGAUCCAAUUACUCACCAAGAUUCCUGCUCAGUAUUGUGGCCAACAAACUGCCGAUGAAAUGGCUUUGCUUGCUUAUAAUCGGGCGCUGAAGCUAUCUUCUCCAGGUUCUCCAGUUCUUGGUGUGGGGUUUACUGGUUCUUUGGCUACCACGCGUCCUAAACUUGGGGACCAUAGGUUUCACUUGUCAACAAGAACGCAUGAUCGACAUUGGGCAUCUACAGUUUCUCUGUCAAAGGGCUUGAGGAGUCGAGAUCAAGAAGAAAAGGUCUCAAGUUGCUUCCUACUGAAGGCAAUUGCUAAUGCAUGCAAAGUCCCUUCCACAUUUGAUUCUGAGUUGACUGAAUCUGAAGUUGCUGAUGAAUGUGAAAGGUUCUUCAGUGAAGAUCAGGAGUUAGAGCAACUUAUAAAUGGGCAAAUUUGCUUUAAGGUUUAUCCGUUUUCAAGUGAUACAUCAAAUGCUGAUAGGAAGAUAAUACUGUCUGGAUCCUUUAAUCCAUUACAUGAUGGUCAUCUGAAGCUCUUGGAAGUUGCCACUAGCAUUUGUGGCAAUGGAUAUCCGUGCUUUGAAUUAUCUGCCAUCAAUGCUGACAAACCUCCACUGUUGAUAUCACAAAUAAAAGAUCGUGUUUUGCAGUUUGAAAAAGUCGAAAAGACGGUAAUAGUUUCCAAUCAGCCUUAUUUCUACAAGAAAGCUGAACUUUUUCCAGGCAGUGCUUUUGUUAUUGGUGCAGACACUGCAGUGAGGCUUAUUAAUAAACCAAAUAUUGUGGACCCCCAUUCCAGUCCUCAAAAUCGUGAUGAAUUUUCUGUGAUAGAACACCUAAAUACUAUGAUGGAAGAUAUGAUAAGAUGCUAGAAACGCUUACUGGAUGCAAAAGAACAGGAUGCACCUUCAUUGUGGCUGGUCGGAAUGUAGAAGGUGCUUUUAAGGUGCUUGAGGAUUUUGACAUACCUGAAGCGUUAAGAGAUAUGUUUGUCUCAAUACCAGCUGAAAGGUUCAGAAUGGAUAUAUCCUCCAGCGAAAUAAGGAAAAGCCGUGGAAUGUAAAUCCCAUAAUGAGAUCAAACUUAAACAUGAGUUUUAGGAUAUAUAUCUUUUCAAUAACAAUAAAGGAUGAUAAAUACAUAUACAGCUUCUUCCUUGUUAUUCUUGUAUGUAUUAUUUCCGGGACCCCAGCGUUGGUUCCGAGGUGCAUUGAAAGAGUAAUAUGUAAGAGCUACACGUUUGCCUCGAUCUGAAAGCAUGUGAAAGUAUCAUGUUGGAUAUUUCUUUAGAGCAAUAAAUAAAAUAUUUAAAGAUUAUUUGAAAA